GACGAACGCUGGCGGCGUGCCUAAUACAUGCAAGUAGAACGCUGAAGGAGGAGCUUGCUUCUCUGGAUGAGUUGCGAGCGGGUGAGUAACGCGUAGGUAACCUGCCUGGUAGCGGGGGAUAACUAUUGGAAACGCUAGCUAAUACCGCAUAAGAGUAGAUGUUGCAUGACAUUUGCUUAAAAGGUGCAGUUGCGUCCCUACCAGAUGGACCUGCGUUGUAUUAGCUAGUUGGUGGGGUAACGGCUUACCAAGGCAACGAUGCGUAGCCGACCUGAGAGGGUGAUCGCCCACACUGGAACUGAGACACGGUCCAGACUCCUACGGGAGGCAGCAGUAGGGAAUCUUCCGCAAUGGGCGAAAGCCUGACGGAGCAACGCCGCGUGAGUGAUGAAGGUCUUCGGAUCUUAAAACUCUGUUAUUAGGGAAGAACAAAUGUGUAAGUAACUAUGCACGUCUUGACGGUACCUAAUCAGAAAGCCACGGCUAACUACGUG
rnacentral:rRNA from 1 species